AACCCAUGCUAAGGACAUUUCCGCAAGAUAUCCUUGAACCUAUCCCACAUCUCAAAAAGAGACUCCAAUUUUGAUUGUACAAAAGAGGAUAUUUCAUUCCUAGGCU